rnacentral:rRNA from 1 species
CCUACGGGUGGCAGCAGUGGGGAAUAUUGGACAAUGGGCGAAAGCCUGAUCCAGCCAUGCCGCGUGUGUGAAGAAGGCCUUCGGGUUGUAAAGCACUUUCAGUGGGGAAGAAAGCCUUGGGGCUAAUACCCUCGAGGAAGGACAUCACCCACAGAAGAAGCACCGGCUAACUCCGUGCCAGCAGCCGCGGUAAUACGGAGGGUGCGAGCGUUAAUCGGAAUUACUGGGCGUAAAGCGCGCGUAGGCGGUCUGAUAAGCCGGUUGUGAAAGCCCCGGGCUCAACCUGGGAACGGCAUCCGGAACUGUCAGGCUAGAGUGCAGGAGAGGAAGCUAGAAUUCCCGGUGUAGCGGUGAAAUGCGUAGAGAUCGGGAGGAAUACCAGUGGCGAAGGCGGCCUUCUGGACUGACACUGACGCUGAGGUGCGAAAGCGUGGGUAGCAAACAGGAUUAGAUACCCUGGUAGUC